rnacentral:rRNA from 1 species
UACAGAGGGUGCAAGCGUCAAUCGGAGUUACUGGGCGUAAAGGGCGCGUAGGUGGUUGAAUAAGUUAGGUGUGAAAGCCCCGGGCUUAACCUGGGAAUGGCGCCUAAUACUGUUUAGCUAGAGUACUGUAGAGGAAGGUGGAAUUUCCGGUGUAGCGGUGAAAUGCGUAGAUAUCGGAAGGAACAUCAGUGGCGAAGGCGACUUUCUGGACAGCUACUGACACUGAGGCACGAGAGCAUGGGGAGCAAACGGG